AUGACCAAAGCACCUUUUAUAUGGGAAAAUAAAGAAGAAGCUAGUAUUGUUUCAAGUAUGCAUUUUUCCCUUUAUGAACUUAGAAUUUCUCACGUACUACAAAGGAAAAAAUGUACAAAACAUGGAGCAAGGAGACAUAAUAUGAGGAGCUAUAAAGAAAAAAGAGCAGCUGAAAAUGAAUGCCAAAGAAUGGUAACAAGAAAAAAAACUUCUAAGAAUUCAAAGGUCAAAAACAAGACAAAUGACGUAUCCAAAAAUCCUUAUGUACUGUGA